AAGGUUCGACUUGAGCGCCAGCGAGAGAGCGUUGCCGCAGGCAACGACCCGAAGGGCGAAGCGCGCAGCGCUGAGUAAUCCUUCCCCCACCACCA
rnacentral:sRNA from 3 species